rnacentral:lncRNA from 1 species
CACAGUCAUCCCUGCAGUGAAACCAGACUCAAGGGCACCCUGUGGCCACUGACAGCUGAGACCCCUGAGAGCCUGUAUUACAUGCAUGUCCUUGAUGAAAGCUGGGUGGGGCUGUAAAAAAGUGAAAAAUCUGUUUUCCUUCUAAAAACUAUUUCCUGCAGGAAUUUCCUGGUUUGUUCCUGUGGAAAAUAUGGAGUCUAGAUCGAAGAAGGAAAACAUGCCUCUAGGGAGGCCACAUGCCCAAGACUUGUGGCCCUGGCGUCUCCUGGUUUGAACUCCUUGGCGUCCCUGGGAAUGAGCCUGGAGCAAGGGAGCCCAGCAGGCUGAGAAUCUGCAGUGUGCUGGGCCUGGGCUUGGCAUGAAGGCACGAGAUGUCGGAGGCGUGGCUGCCACCCAGGAGGACACACCUGAUGGGGCUCCAGGAACAGGACAAUGGUGGAGACGUCACAUCCAGAAUAACUUUGUUAGGAGACUGAACUUGACAGUCAGGAGUUUUACAUUGCAGGUAUCAAAAAGCCACCUAAAAUUGCCUUAAGUAAUAGAGGUGAUCUAAUGGCUCAAAAAACCACCAACUCUAGGAAGACAGACAGGGUGACCUGAAAGUGGGUUUCACCUGGUGUUUUUCUGCCAUUCUGUGCAUGGCGUCAGCUUCCUCCCAAGACUGGCACUGCAUAGGACAUCGGGUGUUUGCCAACCCAGUUGAAGCUCUCUGCUUCCUUGCUCACCACCAGCAGAAAGGUGAGGGCUAUGCCCUGCAUUCCAGGUGACAGGGAAGGUUUACAUCGGGACUCAGUCACACUUUCUGGGUACUGUACAUUUCAUAGCAGGAGCCAGGUUAUACUAAAGGAGUCCUGGCCUGAGGAUACCAGCACCCUAUAGAGAUGGAGAACCCCAGGCAGCUCAGGGGCUGAGGGGCUGAGUGACAGUGAGCACUGCCCACAGAGGGGGCACUCUGAAGUCAGGAGGGGUGGGAAACAGGUGCAGAUCGGCAGCCGGCAGAGGCCCACCCAGGUGAGCACAGGUGGACCUGAUGGUGGAUGGGGACAAAGAGUGUGCUGGUUGGGAGGAGAAGGCGGGGGCCUGUAGCUGGUCUGGGAAUUCCCAAGCUGAGCAAACGGUAUGUCAAGGCCUGUGGUUGGGCUUGUUAACAUAAACACCACACUCUUAAAUGAUCUGUAAGAGGUAUCUUCUGAGCCAAUAUGAGUGACCAUGGCCUGGGGAUCUCAAGAGGUCCUGAAAACGUGUGCCGGGGCCGUCGUUUUCUACAUUUGAGGGGACAGGAAUUGGAGUAACAUCAUAAAUCAAUCCAUGGAAGGUGUACAUUGACUCGGCCUAACAAGGUGGGAUAUCUUGAAGUCGGGGGUGUUAUAGGUCAUAGGUGGAUUCAAAGAUUUUCCGAUUGGCAAUUGGUUGAGAGUUCAGCUUUGUCUAAAGACGUGAAGUUGGUACAAAGGAAUGCUUCAGUUCAGAGAGAGGGUCUGCCUCUGCCACGUGAUGCUGUCCCAGAGUCAGGUAGGAAAGUCAGCCACAGUAUCCUCAGUGAUUUUACAACCCAUUGAAGGAGACUCUGUGGUUUCUAGGUGUGUGUUAAUUCUUGCCUUGCAUGGCCUCAGGUCUUGUUCAUAAUCUGUAACUGAUUGUCCAGAGUCCAGUCUGAAUAAUCUAACUAUGCCUAUUUUAUACUCCAAAGGUGCAGGGCUUUCAUGAGGUGUCUCUGACCUCCCCUUCCACCAUGGCCAGGAAUUCAUUUUCAAGUUUCCCUGGGGUCCCCUUGACUAAGAGGGGGCCUGUUCCAUUGGUUGGGGUCUCAGGAUUGCAGGCCUUAGGGCAGCCUCACAGCAUGGUGCAGGGCGCUUGGUUGGGUUUUCCUGAACCCUGAACCCCAUGGCUCAUAGGAUAAGGGAACUGUGGGCCACCCGGAUUCUGCUGAGAUUCCUUUCCCCAGGUGCAGAUGCGGGUUUGGCCUUGGCCCUUUCUGUUCCUUUCAGAAGCCCACGGAGUGGAGGACAGAACGGUUUGGGGUCAGGGACAGAGGCUCCUGUCACUGAGACUGCCCUCAGUGGGACAGAGGGAAGAGACUAUUGAUGCAGUUCGUCUGCCUCUCUGUGACACUGAUGUGUAGGCCCAGUAAUUAAAGUCCACUCCUGGCAGCCAGCCUUGAACAUAGAACUGAUCGGCCACACAGAAAACCUGAAACAAAGCCUCUAAAAUGCAGCCUCUCAAAAACGCUCACAGGAGUUUUCUUAAUCAGACUUAGCGUAGCCAGUGAGCUUCUGUUGCCUGCGGUGACGUGGGUGCUAUUGUUCCCACUAAAAGCCCAGACCUCUGCCUCAGGAGACAGGGCUCAGCUGCAGCCUCCUCAACUAAAACAUGAAGGGCUGCUUCGUGGGCGCCAAAGCGGCUCCUUAAACUCGCAAUGGUGUGCAAAUUUAUGGGCUCACUUUCUACAUCAGAUCUUCAAAGGUCUCUGUGAUUCCAAAAGCUUGGGAACUAUUAAAUUUGAUCAUUUCUGAAAUGUCUUCCAGUUUAAAAGUCUUCAGUUCCAGUUCAUUUUCAAUUCCUGAAUAAAGGGAUGAGUCUUGGAGCUUCUGGAAGCUGGCCUGGAACUGAGCACUUGCUGCAGACAAUGCCUGAAGUGCAAACCCAAAGCAAUAAGGAAAAAACAGAAAUUUUCACACCAAAGACCCUGUGUUGGGCUCGGAAGAACUGGUGGCUUAACUGAGGAGUCACGGAACACUGCUCUCGGAAACUGUUAGGGCAAUUGAAAAAAAAAAAAAAGAAUAAAGACAAUGAAGAGGCUUAAUUCUCCCUGUUAAAAACAAGGGAAGCGGAGGGCAGCCAAGAUGGCCGAAUAGGAACAGCUCUGGUCUACAGCUCCCAGCGUGAGUGACGCAGAAGACGGGUGAUUUCUGCAUUUCCAUCUAAGGUACCAGGUUCAUCUCACUAGGGAGUGCCAGACAGUGGGCACAGGACAGUGGGUGCAGUGCACUGUGCAUGAGCUGAAGCAGGGUGACGCAUUGCCUCACUCGGGAAGCGCAAGGGAUCAGGGAGUUCCCUUUCCUAGUCAAAGAAAGGGGUGACAGACAGCACCUGGAAAAUCGGGUCACUCCCACCCUAAUACUGCGCUUUUCCGAUGGGCUUAAAAAACGGCGCACCAGGAGAUUAUAUCCCGCACCUGGCUCGGAGGGUCCUACGCCCACAGAGUCUCGCUGAUUGCUAGCACAGCAGUCUGAGAUCAAACUGCAAGGUGGCAGCGAGGCUGGGGGAGGGGUGCCCACCAUUGCCCAGGCUUGCUUAGGUAAACAAAGCAGCCGGGAAGCUCAAACUGGGUGGAGCCCACCACAGCUCAAGGAGGCCUGCCUGCUUCUGUAGGCUCCACCUCUGGGGGCAGGGCACAGACAAACAAAAAGACAGCAGUAACCUCUGCAGACUUAAAUGUCCCUGUCUGACAGCUUUGAAGAGAGCAGGGGUUCUCCCAGCACGCAGCUGGAGAUCUGAGAACGGGCAGACUGCCUCCUCAAGUGGGUCGGGUCCCUGACCCCUGACCCCCGAGCAGCCUAACUGGGAGGCACCCCCCAGUAGGGGGUACUGACUGACACCUCACAUGGCCGGGUACUCCUCUGAGACAAAACUUACAGAGGAACGAUCAGACAGCAGCAUUUGUGGUUCACGAAAAUCCGCUAUUCUGCAGCCACUGCUGCUGAUACCCAGGGAAACAGGGUCUGGAGUGGACCUCUAGCAAACUCCAACAGACCUGCAGCUGAAGGUCCUGUCUGUUAGAAGGAAAACUAACAAACAGAAAGGACAACCACACCAAAAACCCAUCUGUACAUCACCAUCAUCAAAGACCAAAAGUAGAUAAAAC